AUGAGCGAGCCUUUAUGGCGAGCAUUAAUAUCCAUAACACUGUGAACUGUUGACCUUUGGGUCACUAUUUUACAAAACUUUGUGUAAUGAACGUAUUAUACUAUAAUCAAUA
rnacentral:misc_RNA from 1 species